rnacentral:lncRNA from 1 species
GUUUGGCGUUGCAGCUGUGUGGGCGCUGGUGCGUGCGAGUAGCGCUCGAAGAAACCCAAAGGCGUCGUGGGGCUGCCGUGUGCCCCAGAGAGCACUGCAGGCCGGGUAGGGGCUAAGGCUCCCCGCAGUCUUCUGUGUGUCGUCCAGUACGCAGUUGAAAUCGUUCUCCAACCUGGCCAGUCCUCCGAGGCCCUUCUCAGGCGACCAGACUCUGUUAACAGAGUCCAUUGCUAAAACUCCUCGUUAGUAUUUACCACUCCUCCAGUCUGUGUUUUGAAGCAGUGGUUUUCAACCACUGCCCGUUUUCAGAAGAAAUCAUCUCAAGCGUCCGUGUGCUGCUAGAAGCCGGGCCGGGAGGUCUUGGUGCCGGACUCCACCCUGCAGCCCUUCCCUUUCGCCACCGCCCUGUGCUUAGAGAAACCUUAGAGUGGAGCAAUGAGUCGCCCUUGACUGAGUAACUCUUCGGGGUCAACUUCUCCUUCCACGCCAAGGAAAGGAUUCCAGGGCGAUGUUUCUGGAAAUAGAGAUCUGACCAAGCCACUGCUCUGGUGAAAAUUCAGUGGGUCCCUAGCACCUAGUGCAGCGGCUCCUAGCCUGAGUAUUGCCGUCUUUCGGUGGGGAGGGGUUGGGUUUUUUUGUAGCAUCUGUUGAUCUGAUCUCCAACAUCCUCCACGUCAAUUCCCACUCCACCCACAUCCCUUAUCCUAUACGUAAGCUUUCCAGCCACGGUGCUGGCUUGGGUGGGGGUGCGUGCGGUGCUGACACCAAAAUGGAGGUCCCGUGUUUCUGAGAGUCUCUUUCAGAGCAAUGCAAACCUGAAACUACUCCUGCCAAGAAACGAUUGCAGCUCUUCCCGGAAAAGUUAAAGCCUUUGAGAAACAAAGCUGAGGUUGAAAGUAUUAGUCCAUUUUAUAGAUGAAGAAAUGGAGGCCCAGAGAGAUCACGUGACUUAGCCAAGUCCACCAAAUUUGGGAUUAAGCCUUAUUUUGCAUUGGGUUUAAUCUCAACAGACACCGAGGGGCACCUGGAGUCCCUGCAAAACCUUGUCUGGUAUCAGCUACCUAUCAGAGGAUGCAGAGGACAAGGUCAGGUAGAGGCUGUUUCCAGUGAGAGGAAGGCAGGGGGAGGGCAUGGAAGGAGCACUGGAAAUGGGGUGGGAAAACCAAAGCUCCCUCCAUGCAGGGCUACUUAGGUGAGUCCCUUCCCUGUCUGGGCUCCCUUCCUUCCUUCCUUCCUUCCUUCCUUCCUUCCUUCCUUCCUUCCUUCCUUCUUUCCUUCCUUUCCUUCCUUCCUUCUUUCCUUUCUUCCUUGCUUCCUGCUCUCUCUGUUGCCCAGGCUGGAGUGCAGUAGCAUGUCCUCGCCUCACUGCAGCCUCGACCUCCUGGACUCAAGCCAUCCUCCCACCUCAGCCUCCUGAGUAGCUGGAGCUAUAGGCGUGUGCCACUACACACGGCUAACUUUUGUAUUUUUUGUAGAGAUGGGGUUUCACCAUCUUGUCCAAGCUGGUCUUGAACUCCUGGGCUCAAGCGAUCUGUCCACCUCAGCCUCCCAAAGUGCUGGGAUUACAGACAUGAGCCACCGUGCCCAGCCUGUGCCUUAGCAUUCUAUCCUAUGACUCAGAGGUAGCUGAGCUCCAUCUUCUAAAAUCAAGUGACCAUCACUGAGGCUGUCUCCUCCCCUAUAAAAUCAGGAUUGUGUUACUCAUUGUAGAAAAACCAGUAACCCCAGCAAGCAAGCUCACCCCCCUGGCUCCACAGACCUCCCCAGUCUCAUCUCUCAAGACUCCUGCCCUUCACAAGAUGCUCUGGCGCACCCCAGCCCUGUGCUCCCUCUCAUUUGGUUUCCUCUGCUUGGAUUGCCCUUCUCACCUUCUUUAGUUGGUGUCUGCUCACCUUCUAAGACUCAGCCCAGUCCUUAUCUCCUCCAGGAAGCCUUCCCCAAUCUCCCUUCCACUGGCUGGGUUAGGUGCUGUCCCUUGGGCUCCUAUCAAGUCUGGGCCAUUGCUGUCCUAAUAAUGUGGCUGAUAAUUUAUAGCUAGUCAUUAGAGUUGUAAUUUAUUGAGCCCUUACUCACAGCCUGCCCCUGAACCAGACCCUUUAUACAGCGUCACCUCAUUGAAUCUGACAAAGUAUAACUCAGCUCCUAGUUCAAAGUAAACAUCUGCCCUGCCAUUGAUCCCGCUGAGGUAACAGAAAUAAAGCCAGCUGUGGAGGUAACACGAAACAGUAGUUCUCCCAAGCAUAGGGUACAGCUAGAAAGUGCCACAACGUGCCUGCCUGCAAUGUGUGCACGUGCGUGCACACGUGUACGUGGAUAAACACGUCUGUGCACGUGUAUGUUGCUUCUCUGGCCAGGCCUGGCUGCCCCACUCAUGUGCACCCAGUUCCUCAUCACUGUCACCCCCGAGGCCCAGGGCCAGCAUCAGAGCAUCCCUGGCUGCUCCCUAACCUCAGCCCUCCCCGCCCAGGGUGGUCCUGGGAUACACAUAGGGGUGGAGGGAAGUGACUGCUGCUGCUGCUGGAUCUCAGAAUACAAAUACUAAUACUAUUACCUAAUGGUCUUUUUAGUGUCCCUAAUGGUCUUUUUAGUGUCUCUAAUUGUAUCUCUUUUUCGUUUCUGAUAUUUUAACUGGGUAUUUCUCUCCAUGACCCUUGGAUAUUCUAGCUAGAGGAUCCUGUGGGGAAAGUGCCGGGCACACAGUAGGGGCUCACUCUUCUAGACGUGUUAUCUAAAACCUGGUUCAUCUGUCCUUCCACGCAGGGCCUAGGGGAUGCCAAAUUCCAGGGUCCAGAAAGAGCUUGGGAUAAAAUGAACAUCCAAGGGGAGGGCUUUGACCUGGGCUGAGUCUGCCUGUGCCGAGUCUGCCUGUGCCAUCCAACUGGAGUCUCAAGUCCUGAGGCAGGACGUCCAGAUGCCCCAGUGCAGGGUCCUCCUGAUCAACACCUGCUCCCCUGUACUCAUUAGCAACCUCACCCACCCUACUCUCAAAGCACACUUGGCUCUCAUAUCCAGGAGCUCUGCAUCUGUAGAUUCAGCAACAGCAGAUGGAAAAUAUUCAGAAAAUAAAUUGGACAGUUAUAUUUCUAUUGA